AAAAAAUAGUUUAAAUAAAACAUUAAUCUUGGGGAUUAAAAUUAAUUAAUAAAUUUUUUUUGA
rnacentral:tRNA from 1 species